rnacentral:rRNA from 1 species
UACGGAGGGUGCGAGCGUUAAUCGGAAUUACUGGGCGUAAAGCGCACGUAGGCGGUCAGAUAAGUAGGAUGUGAAAGCCCUGGGCUUAACCUGGGAACUGCAUUCGAUACUGUCUGGCUAGAGUAUGGGAGAGGGAAGCGGAAGUUCCGGUGUAGCGGUGAAAUGCGUAGAUAUCGGAAGGAACACCAAUGGCGAAGGCAGAUUCCUGGUCCAAUACUGACGCUCAGGUGCGAAAGCGUGGGGAUCAAACAGG